rnacentral:misc_RNA from 1 species
AUUUCCUACUACUAAAAGAAGCAUAAUAAUUGUUAAGAUGCCCUUCUUUCCAAGAUGGAUUUGGAUCACGACUAAGACUACGGCUACGCCUGUAGGGAGGAACGUAUAUAGAGCGUGAAGACUUGUGAAUGUGACCUGUUAUGUGUUCUUCCUGAUGCUCCUCGUGCACAUGAUUUGUUAUGUAUCAUAACUCUGAAUUUGUGGAAGUAUAUGGGACGUGUUUCGGUGUUCUCGUCCGGGCAUACUACUAAGAGAGAAUUUUUAUUUUUUUUUAAGAAAGAACUUUUUGGCAUAACUAUUAAGAGAAUGGUAUUGAUAGGAUUACCUUUCUUUCUUGGUGCAGGAGUUAUGGAUGCAAGUCUGGU